UAAUUAAUCCCAUGACAUCACUGAUAUUCAACUCAUGCCAGUACACAUGACCUGUAGGAACUUGGUCAAGUCUCUGAUAUUAAGUUUCUUCUAAUGCAAGAGUGAGAGAGAGGAACUAUUCUGUCUGUGUUAUAAGGGUAUAGUGAGGGUUGAAAGGGUUUCAUUCAUGCUUUUCAACAAGAACUCUGCCACCAAGGCACUUAGGUCGCAGUGUGUUUUCUCAGUUAUAGCCUUCCCUAGAAGUCCAAUGGGGAAAACAAACAAAAAGGAUGGGAACAGGGGCCAAAGUUCUGCUUGCUUAUCCCAACUAAGCUUCCCAGUGGACUUUGGAAGAUCUGCUUGAAACUCUCAUCAAGAGAUAUCUUCACACAUGUGAGGGACAUAAGCUGAGAGCCCGAGUCACUCCCGAGUUUAACUUUCUCUGGAAAAGACCAGAACUCUUUCAUCGUAAGAACUUCAGGUUGAGAAUCUCCGUGCAUCUGGCAGCUGUGAGGCAGAGUCAGCAAGAGCCUUCCUUAAAUUUGGCAGUGCCUUAAGUUUUAACAAGAGUUCUCAGGCCUGACUCCGCUUUUGCAAGUGUUCCAAAACCCAAGAAAGAGUCUUAAACGUGCAUGAAACUAUAUACACUAAGAAGCUAAAGAAAAGAUUGUUCAAAUCAAACCAAA
rnacentral:sRNA from 1 species